CAACAACAAACAAAAAGGGAAAUUCCCCAUUGAAGAUUGGUCUGUGAGGACCACUUCCUGGUCUUAACUUUGCUUCCUCUGACUCCAUUGGUAGAGAGGUACGCAAAUUUCUAAGGGAGCACCCUAGUGCCUCAUAACUCUUUGGUUUAACCAUCAUCUAGUAAUAGCCACCUGUCAUUAAAAAACCCAAGCAGUGAAACACUGCCAACACAUGGAAGGCGUAUAGAACUGAGAGGGCUGAGGCUGUCAGGCAUGGGAACAGAACAUUUCAUUCCUCUGGCCUUGAGUGAAGAAUAGAAACUACAGAGGGAAGGAUUUGGAGUGGCUAAUGUUGGCAGAAGUGAGAAUCAGAAUUAUGGAACUGCAAAGUCCUAUGACCUUCCAUUUACUGAAGAGGAAACAGAAGCACAGCAAGAGUGCUCAAGAGACUUACCUAAUGCCACUCCACACAGUAAGUACUGGAAUCCGGGACUUGGACUGCCAAUUCCAU
rnacentral:lncRNA from 1 species